AUACGGAGGGUGCAAGCGUUGUUCGGAAUUACUGGGCGUAAAGCGCGCGUAGGCGGUCUGUUAUGUCAGAUGUGAAAGUCCUCGGCUCAACCGGGGAAGUGCAUUUGAAACUGGCAGACUUGAGUACUGGAGGGGGUGGUGGAAUUCCCGGUGUAGAGGUGAAAUUCGUAGAUAUCGGGAGGAAUACCGGUGGCGAAGGCGACCACCUGGCCAGAUACUGACGCUGAGGUGCGAAAGCGUGGGGAGCAAACAGGAUUAGAAACCCCUGUAGUCC
rnacentral:rRNA from 1 species